rnacentral:rRNA from 1 species
AGAGUUUGAUCAUGGCUCAGAUUGAACGCUGGCGGCAUGCCUUACACAUGCAAGUCGAACGGCAGCACGGGAGCAAUCCUGGUGGCGAGUGGCGAACGGGUGAGUAAUACAUCGGAACGUGCCCAGUUGUGGGGGAUAGCCCGGCGAAAGCCGGAUUAAUACCGCAUACGACCUGAGGGUGAAAGCGGGGGACCUGCAAGGGCCUCGCGCAGUUGGAGCGGCCGAUGGCAGAUUAGCUAGUUGGUGGGGUAAAGGCUCACCAAGGCGACGAUCUGUAGCUGGUCUGAGAGGACGACCAGCCACACUGGGACUGAGACACGGCCCAGACUCCUACGGGAGGCAGCAGUGGGGAAUUUUGGACAAUGGGCGCAAGCCUGAUCCAGCCAUGCCGCGUGCGGGAAGAAGGCCUUCGGGUUGUAAACCGCUUUUGUCGGGGAAGAAACGCUCCGGGUUAAUACCUUGGAGUAAUGACGGUACCUGGAGAAUAAGCACCGGCUAACUACGUGCCAGCAGCCGCGGUAAUACGUAGGGUGCGAGCGUUAAUCGGAAUUACUGGGCGUAAAGCGUGCGCAGGCGGCCAUGCAAGACAGAUGUGAAAUCCCCGGGCUCAACCUGGGAACUGCAUUUGUGACUGCAUGGCUGGAGUGCGGCAGAGGGGGAUGGAAUUCCGCGUGUAGCAGUGAAAUGCGUAGAUAUGCGGAGGAACACCGAUGGCGAAGGC